rnacentral:rRNA from 1 species
AUUGAACGCUGGCGGCAUGCUUUACACAUGCAAGUCGAACGGUAACGGGCCGCAAGGUGCUGACGAGUGGCGAACGGGUGAGUAAUGCAUCGGAACGUGCCCAGUCGUGGGGGAUAACGCAGCGAAAGCUGCGCUAAUACCGCAUACGAUCUAUGGAUGAAAGCGGGGGACCGUAAGGCCUCGCGCGAUUGGAGCGGCCGAUGUCAGAUUAGGUAGUUGGUGGGGUAAAGGCUCACCAAGCCAACGAUCUGUAGCUGGUCUGAGAGGACGACCAGCCACACUGGGACUGAGACACGGCCCAGACUCCUACGGGAGGCAGCAGUGGGGAAUUUUGGACAAUGGGCGCAAGCCUGAUCCAGCAAUGCCGCGUGCAGGAAGAAGGCCUUCGGGUUGUAAACUGCUUUUGUACGGAACGAAACGGUCCUGGUUAAUACCCGGGGCUAAUGACGGUACCGUAAGAAUAAGCACCGGCUAACUACGUGCCAGCCGCCGCUGUAAUAC